rnacentral:misc_RNA from 1 species
AAAUUAAAAAAAAAAAAAAAGAAAAGAAAGAGCGGGGCGGCGCGUAUACGGACAACUGAAAAGGAAGCAUGGCGCGAAUUUCGACGCAGGUUCUGGACUAACAAUUCUCAAAUAAAACAAGAGUGGCUCUGGCGCUUCGGAGGCAUAUGAUUCUCAAUCUCUAUACGCCUCUCCUUCUUGUUAUUGUAAUAAUAUUUAAUUUCCAACGCAAAUAUUCUCAGAAUCUAAUUUCUUUGGGCUGGUCUAUUGAUGCUCUUUUAGAUUUCGACGACAGCAAUAUCCAGAUUCUGAUUUUACUGGGGGACUGUUGUCAACUUGUCAUUUGAGAAGAACAAUCUCUAGGAACUAACAUGACAAGUAUAGCUGCCUUCAGUGCCAACCUGCACUACAGGUUAAACAAAUGCAGGGUACACAGUUGCACACAACCCGCCCAGGUGUCUGGUGCGGCAUUCAAUGGAGGCUUGCAGAAAGAACUUUCAUGGUCAUAUGGAGUAUCCAAGAUGUUGCAAAUUCAAAGAUGUAACAUUUACCGGUCUACCAUUGGUGAAUACUGGAAAUCUUUUGGAACGAUAACAGUUAGUGUAUCAUCUUGCCUAAGAGAUGGUUCCACCAAGUAUUUUGAUUUUGUCGUUAUUGGAAGUGGAGUUGCUGGACUUCGCUAUGCCCUUGAAGUUGCAAAACAUGGAACUGUUGCUGUGAUAACCAAGGCUGAGCCUCAUGAGAGCAAUACAAACUAUGCCCAAGGUGGCGUUAGUGCUGUGUUGUGUCCUUUGGACUCUGUGGAGAGUCACAUGCAGGAUACCAUUGUAGCAGGGGCUUAUCUAUGCGAUGAGGAAACUGUUAGAGUUGUUUGUACUGAAGGACCUGACAGAAUCAGGGAAUUGAUAGCUAUGGGUGCAAUGUUUGAUCAUGGUGAGGACGGAAACCUGCACCUAGCAAGGGAAGGGGGUCACUCUCACCAUAGAAUUGUUCAUGCUGCCGAUAUGACUGGGAGGGAGAUUGAGCGAGCGCUGCUGGAGGCAGUUGUUAAUGAUCCUAAUAUAUCCAUGUUUGAACACCACUUUGCAAUAGAUUUACUGACUUCUCAGGUUCAUUUCCUAGUACUUCUUUUGUUUAUACAAAAACCGAGAAGCAUAACUUUAGGUACUCACUUAUAGUAUUUUUUUUGGCUGAAUUAUUUCUUAAAUGUGUGUUGGUAUAAAUGUAGCAUUAACUUUAAUAUUCAGUUUCAAAAUUAAGGAACAGUUGAAUGUAUUCACCUCACUUGUGGUGUGCUUCUUCAUCUGACGUCAUAAAGUUUUAAGUUUACAUCAGUGUGGAUACUUAAAUGAAUUUUGUGUUGCUGUAGGAUGGUCCUGACACAGUUUGCCAUGGCGUUGACACAAUGAAUACUGAAACACAAGAGGUUAUUCGUUUCAUUUCAAAGGUGACUUUACUUGCAUCAGGUGGGGCUGGGCAUAUCUAUCCAUCUACCACAAAUCCUCCGGUGGCCACUGGAGAUGGCAUUGCAAUGGCUCACAGAGCUCAAGCUGUGGUGUCAAACAUGGAAUUUGUGCAGUUCCAUCCAACUGCCUUAGCUGAUGAAGGCCUUCCUGUCAAACCAAACAAAGCUCGAGAAAAUGCAUUUCUUAUCACUGAGGCCGUCAGGGGUGAUGGGGGCAUCCUCUAUAAUUUAAGCAUGGAAAGGUUUAUGCCCAUGUAUGAUGAGAGGGCUGAGUUAGCUCCUAGGGAUGUGGUGGCAAGAAGUAUAGAUGACCAGCUUAAAAAGCGUAAUGAGAAGUAUGUGCUACUUGAUAUAAGUCACAGGCCCAGAGAAAAAAUACUCUCCCACUUUCCCAACAUAGCUACUGAGUGUCUUCAGUAUGGCCUGGAUAUAACUCAUCAGCCAAUUCCAGUGGUUCCUGCUGCACAUUACAUGUGUGGUGGAGUCCGUGCUGGGCUUCAGGGGGAGACAAAUGUGCGGGGCCUCUAUGUAGCAGGUGAGGUUGCAUGCACUGGUUUGCAUGGAGCAAACAGACUUGCUAGCAAUUCAUUGCUUGAAGCACUGGUUUUUGCAAGAAGAGCAGUCCAGCCUUCAAUUGAUCACAUGAAGUGCUCUAGGCUUGAUCUCAGUGCUUCAAGUUGUUGGGCACGACCAGUUGUGCCCAAUUCACUUGGAAGUGAUGUAAUAGACAACAUAUUGAAGACAACAGUGAAAGUAAGGAAAGAACUGCAAUCAAUCAUGUGGAAAUAUGUGGGAAUUGUUCGCUCAACAACUAGACUAGAAACUGCUGUGGGAAAAAUCAGUGAACUGGAGUCUCAGUGGGAAAAGCACUUAUUUGAGCAAGGAUGGGAGCAAACAAUGGUAGGGCUUGAGGCUGGUGAAAUGAGGAAUCUCUUUUGUUGUGCAAAGCUGGUGGUGAGCAGCGCCCUGGCUAGGCAUGAAAGCCGCGGUCUUCACUAUACGAUCGAUUUCCCGCAUGUGGAGGAAAGUAAGAGGUUGCCAACAAUUAUUUUCCCUUCUCCCAUAAAUAGUACAUGGAGUUCACGACAGGUACACAAGCUGGCUAUCUGUUAGCAAGUGCAGGGCCUGCGUCUGAUUUCUUCCAGCUAAAACAUUAUUUUUUUGGAUAUAUCAUUCAUUAUUUAAAUGAAGAUUUAUAUUGAAUCCUCUGGUAAGAAAGGGGAUGUGCCUUUCUUUGUUUACUUGAAAAUUUCUUUGUUUCUUUUUAUGGACUUGUUAAGAGAGCCUAACAAUAAUGUCCUUAGUGAUUGGAUUGCUAUAAGUAGGAUGAGUUAUGAAUAUUUGAAAAAUUGAAUUUGAUGAGUCAAUAAAUGCUAUAAAACAUGCUGUAGCCUGUAUUAGGAGAAAUUAUAUAAUUUCUCCUAAUACAGG